CUCGCUGUCUUCACCACCUGGACUCUGUGUGCCGUCCUUACCGCCUAUGACAUCUUUCCACCAGCUUCCCCAGCCAGGACUGACACCACAAACUGGAAACCUAAUGGGCAAACUCACCCUGGUUCAGAGAUGCCAUACCCUGGUCAGUGGGGAGUGCCAACCGUGCCAGUCGCAGGAGUGGUUGGGAUGCUCGGAGGCUCCUUGGCAUCGAUCAUCGAGAGCAUCGGAGACUACUACGCAUGCGCCAAGAUAGCGGGUGCCCCGAGACCCCCACCAGUGCCAUCAAUCGAGGGCAUUGCAUAGGGCAUCGG